rnacentral:rRNA from 1 species
GGUGAGUAAUGCCUAAGAAUCUGCCUGGUAGUGGGGGAUAACGUUCGGAAACGGACGCUAAUACCGCAUACGUCCUACGGGAAAAAGCAGGGGACCUUCGGGCCUUGCGCUAUCAGAUGAGCCUAUGUCGGAUUAGCUAGUUGGUGGGGUAAUGGCUCACCAAGGCUACAAUCCCUAACUGGUCUGAAAGGAUGAUCAGUCCACUGGAACUGAGACACGGUCCCACUCCUACUGGAGGCAGCAGUGGGGAAUAUUGGACAAUGGGCGAAAGCCUGAUCCAGCCAUGCCGCGUGUGUGAAGAAAGUCUUCCGAUUGUAAAGCACUUUAAGUUGGGAGGAAGGGUUGUAGAUUAAUACUCUGCAAUUUUGACGUUACCGACCGAAUAAGCACCGGCUAACUCUGUGCCACCAGCCGCGGUAAUAC